rnacentral:rRNA from 1 species
UACGUAGGGCGCAAGCGUUGUCCGGAAUUAUUGGGCGUAAAGAGCUCGUAGGCGGUCUGUUGCGUCCGCUGUGAAAACUCGGGGCUUAACCCCGAGCCUGCAGUGGAUACGGGCAGACUAGAGGUAGGUAGGGGAGAAUGGAAUUCCCGGUGUAGCGGUGAAAUGCGUAGAUAUCUGGAGGAACACCGGUGGCGAAGGCGGCAUCCUGGACCGGUAUUGACGCUGAGGCGCGAAAGCCAGGGGAGCAAACGGG